GGACACGAGGGCAUCUGACUGUGGCAUCUGUCACCCCACUGAUUGCCAGGGUUGAUUUGGCUGAUCUGGCUGCCUAAGCAGGUGUCCCCAUCCUCCCUCAUGGCUCCAUGUGUCCCUGCUCAUGCUGCAGCUCAGUUGAUGAGGAUGACUUUCCCCAUACGAAAGAGGACAAGUCUCUGGCCAGCUGCUGUGCUCUCCUUAGGGCCUCUAAACAAGCCCCCUAGUGUGCACUUGUGUCCACGGCAUCUAAUUCUUACUCUUCUGCCCUGGGUUUACUUGGCAGCCUGG
rnacentral:snRNA from 1 species